CUCACUUACAGGACACAUGGGCAGAUGCAGUUCAAAUUUUCAUUGCUUGUUUUCUUACCAAAAUACUCACAAAGCAAUGUGCAACCUGAGGGGUUGGGGCCUCACAGGUCAGAGGACACAGGACUGGAUGUUGUACUGUGUCAUGUAUAUCCACAGCCCAUAUGGUUCCCAGCCACAUAUUCAGCUGUUAUUUAAAACAACAAUUCUACCACCCAGUGGGCCACAACUUAGCCUGAGGUGUAGGUCCUCAGCAUUUUAAAAGGCUGGCCUAACUAUGAGCAGGCUUCAUAGAUCACAUGUAUAGUUAGUCCUGGCUACACAGGAGGACUAGGGGAGAAGGUCAUGAGCCCAGGAGUCCUAAGCCAGUCUGGAUAGCAAAGAGAGAUGCAUUUCUUAAAAAUAAAAAAUGAGGACCUCAGGGCUGGGGAUGUGGCUCAAGUGGUUGCACACUCGCCUGGUAUGCACAGGGCGCUGGGUUCGAUCCUCAACACCACAUAAAAAUAAAAGAUAUUGUGUCCACCUAAAACUAAAAAAUAGAUAUUUAAAUAAAAAUAAGGACCUCAGAAUAUAGCUCAGUGGUAGAGCGCUUGACUAGCAUGUAGAAUUCCUUGGGCUCAGUCCCAAUCAAUGCACACUAAACAAAGGCAUUUUUCAUUUAGAACAAUUUUGUGCCUUGUAUGUAAAGGUGUAAAAAAUAAUGUUGUACAGAAUUUAAAUGUUAAAUAGAUUAAUUUAGAAGAUUCACAGUUAGGAACUUUAUGUCAUGGUGAAGAGCUUGCUCUAUUCAGGGAGAGCGCUCUGAUUUCAAAUCCUGCUUACAACACUAACAAUGUGACCUUGAAAGAGUAACUUUUCUUUCCUUAUACCAAGCUUCCGAGUGUGUCACAUGAGGGAAGAACAUGGCAUUGAAUUGUUUAGAUAUUAAGAUUCUACAUGCACAACAUUUAAUUGUCCCAGUAAACUGGUUUGCCAUUUUUCUACCAUGGAAUUUUUUGCAUAGUGUAAUACAUAAGCAAUUGUUCAUUAUUUGCUUACAUAUAUAAUUCUCUAUAGAAGAAGUUGAUAGUCAAUAGGUUAUAGUUUGUAGAAUUUAUUAAAUUAAAAGUUAGCUCAGAUGUGUCCAAUAGUUUUGGAUGUCGUUUUACAAAAUUAUUCCUGUUGAUUUUCCU
rnacentral:lncRNA from 1 species